GCGAAGAUGGCGAAAUUGGUAGACGCACUAACUUCAGAUGUUAGUGUCUUUAAUGACGUGAGGGUUCAAGUCCCUCUCUUCGCA
rnacentral:tRNA from 1 species